UAGCUUGCAGAAGAGAGGGGUGGUU
rnacentral:piRNA from 1 species